ensembl:lncRNA
GGCAGGAGUGUUGCUUGUGUUGGAGGGGGAGCACAAGUGAAAGGAGUCAGGACAGAUAAGAUGGCUCUACAAGCGUCAAACCAUUUAUUCCCCCAUCCAUGAAAAGGGGUAUGUAAAAGGGAGUGUGGUGGUCAGGGCGAUGAAUGUGAAGACCACAGAGAAGAGUCCUGAACACACAUUUCCGAAGCCUCACCAUGCUACCGGGGACACAAGCGAUCCAGUCCCUCACACUCCUACCCAGAGAUCUACUCAAAGGGAGAGCAAGAACGGUAAGUGUUCACCUAGGGUAUUAUACACUCAUGAUGUCCACCUAGGGUCACAUGUACUCAACAUAGGGGUAUUAUACACUCAGGAUGUCCACUUAAGGUACUCAACAUAGGGGUAUUGUACACUCAUGAUGUCCACCUAGGGUCACAUGUACUCAACAUAGGGGUAUUAUACACUCAGGAUGUCCACCUAGGGUCACAUGUACUCAACAUAGGGGUAUUAUACACUCAGGAUGUCCACUUAAGGUACUCAACAUAGGGGUAUUGUACACUCAUGAUGUUCUCCUAGGGUAAUCAACAUAGGGGUAUUGUACACUCAGGAUGUCCACUUAAGGUACUCAACAUAGGGGUAUUGUACACUCAUGAUGUCCACUUAAGGUACUCAACAUAGGGGUAUUGUACACUCAGGAUGUCCACUUAAGGUACUCAACAUAGGGGUAUUGUACACUCAUGAUGUUCUCCUAGGGUCACAUGUACUCACCUUUGGGGUAUUGUACACUCAUGAGAAUAUGUAUUAAUUCUAUGAAGCUUGAUGGCAAAGCAGAUAGGAAUUUCCAUCAUGAUCUGUGUUGUAUUGGCUAUAUGUCGCGACGCCUGCCCAACUCCGGAAAACAAUCAAGGCCCACGUAAGCCUAAGUUUGUAAACAGCUUCGAACACAAAAGGUUGAAUCAUUUUUGGACGGGCUCUUUGAAAGCUUAAGAUAGGCCGCCGUCUUAAGAGAGUCACUGGCCUUCGCCAAUGUACAUACCAGGUAAAUAGGUAAGCAUGCACAAGGCUGGCGAGUGCCAAGUGACUCCCCGCGCCAGAUAAAACAAGCUCGUUUGAACGUUUUAUUAAAACCAGCUGAUGACUAAUCCAUGCUGAAAUAACGGUGUGCUCUGCUUUUCAACUUCACAGUUUAAUCAAACCAGCUUAAAUGCCACUUGAAUCACAAGGUUGGAGGGAUGAAAGUAUUUGUGGAAUCCUGUGAUAGAACCUUGUAUUUUUAGAACGGAUGGUUCCCUGGGCUCCCCAGCGAACGGCGAGAGAAAUACAGCGGUUCCCACUUCACUUUAAGAGCCAAUAGAAGUUUUCCAUGAUGUCAUGUGUGGCGGUUGGGUGAGAGUAAUUGAAGAGGCAAAUGAACACAAACUCGAGUCUCCCCGAGUUCAGCCAUUUAUUUAUUUAUCCAGUUUUUUUGCGUGUUCUUCAUCCUCCCAGUUUAAAAGAAGGUAAUGCCUUAAGCACUUUGACGACGCAAUAUUACACACACAAUGUGUCAGUGCUCCAUGAUUGAAGUUCGAAUGAAAGAUACAACGGAGAUGCCAUCAUAGUCUGGGAUUUCGCACUGAAUCACCUCCAACCUUACUGCUCCAUUUGCAAAGAUGAACAGGAGUCACCGUGGAAACAAAAACAAGUUAUUGUUAUUGUGGAGCUGUACACUGACUUCUUACUUGUGGAUUAUGAUUCGGUUAAAUCAGUAUUGUAAUCGAUGUUUCCUUGUCUAUUUAAAAUGGUUAACAUAAAACAAGAGGGAAUAAUAAUCUCCAUUAAAGAGUGACAUGUAACACAGUGGCCCAUACUGAAAUCCUGUGCAGGAGAGUGGUUGUGAAAAGCUGUUUCAUCAAACAGAAUCAGUAUUGGUUCUGGGGGUGUGGUAUGGAAAUGGACAUUUAGCUGAAGACUAGUACCUCUGCAGAUGGUAAGGAUUAGUAUAUGUACGUUAGUCACUUGGAUGCCACCAUAGUUUGUGGCAGUUGAUGGUGCUCCUUCACACUAAUAUUUGCAUGCAGUCACUUAUCAGGCCUUUAACAUUUUCAUUCAUAUCAAUUCAUAGGACUGCACACACUAUUUAAGCAAAUGAGCUGAAUGAAACUAUCAAACACAUUGUCCCUGACAUUGCUACAACUUCCCUCUUACAUUGAAAUGAAUCAUUAAAUUAUAAAGAAUAAGUCAUGUACAGAUUGUAAAGGGCAGAUGUGUUUUGUUUUCCUUGCAGUCCCUCACUACUGAACUACAGCCUCGGUCAGUAACUGAGUAAGUGGACCUGUACCUCAGCUAGUAGAGCAAGGUGCUAACAAUAUGAAGGUCAUGGGUUUGACACCCAGGGUGUGCACCUACUAAUGAAAAUAUAUAUCUGUCCUGUAAGUUGCUUUGACUAAAAGUAUCUGCAAAAUAAAUUAAGGGAAAUGUAAUAAGCAAGGAAGGUGAUAUAACUGCCAAUCUUUGCAAACCAAGCCAUUCUUUUUUAUUUUUCUCAUUAUUAUUAUUAUCAUUAUUAUGUAUUUUGUCAUAAUUGUAUUCACAAUGUUUUACAUUCUUUGAUGGUCUUGCUUCAUUACUCAUGGGCCACUCAAUACAAAAAGCAAGUGGGCCUCAAGGCCUUUUGUGUGACCCACUUCUAUGAAAUAUCCUUCAGCGGUUACACAUGUUGCACAGCUUUACAGGACAGACCACAUUACAAAAGAUCUGUUGCUUUCCCACAUCCUAGUGUGUUAAAACAAGUUUAAGCCAUUUUUAAUGAAGACAUAUUCAUCUCUGUCCAAGAUGAAAUGCAUGGUCUUGACAGAGGCUACUUAUUAUGGAGCUAAACAAUAGUUGUCAGGUUUGAAAAUGAGUUUGCAUUGUAUGGUGGCAUAAUCAGACUUUUCAUGAUUGUAAAUCCACGACUUGUUUGUUCUACAAGCAUGCAUUUGUAGUGCCAGAAGUCUGUCAACAAGUUUGAGUUUAGUUCCAUAUGAAAAAUUGUGGGAGUGAAUCUCUGUUUUUUACCAAGACACAUACAAGGUUAACUCCUACAUGCCUUGUGCUUGUGCC